AAAGUCGUAACAAGGUUUCCGUAGGUGAACCUGCGGAAGGAUCAUUGACAAAUCUAAACAACAACAACAACAACAACACACACACCUGUGAAUGGCGGCGCCGCAAGGAGCCGUAGCUGGCGAUGGUAGCAGACGGAGAUAUCUCUCUCCUACGCUACGAUCCCCGCAAUAUUUACGCAAUUGUCUUACACACACACAACAACAACAACAACAACUUUUAGCAAUGGAUCUCUUGGCUUCU
rnacentral:misc_RNA from 1 species